rnacentral:rRNA from 1 species
CUUUUUGGAGAGUUUGAUCCUGGCUCAGGACGAACGCUGGCGGCGUGCCUAAUACAUGCAAGUCGAGCGGACUUUUAA